rnacentral:rRNA from 1 species
GACGAACCGAGCGAACGUUGUUCGGAAUCACUGGGCUUAAAGGGCGCGUAGGCGGGUGCUCAAGUCCGGGGUGAAAUCCUCCAGCUCAACUGGAGAACUGCCUCGGAUACUGGGUGUCUCGAGGGUGGUAGGGGUAUGCGGAACUAUCGGUGGAGCGGUGAAAUGCGUUGAUAUCGAUAGGAACUCCGGUGGCGAAGGCGGCAUACUGGACCACAUCUGACGCUGAGGCGCGAAAGCCAGGGGAGCAAACAGG